rnacentral:rRNA from 1 species
GACGAACCGUGCGAACGUUAUUCGGAAUCACUGGGCUUAAAGCGCGUGUAGGCGGGACGGCACGUCGGUCGCUGAAAGCCCCCGGCUCAACCGGGGAACGGGCGCCGAUACGACCGCCCUCGAGGAACGUAGGGGGACCUGGAACUUCCGGUGGAGCGGUGAAAUGCGUUGAGAUCGGAAGGAACGCCCGUGGCGAAGGCGGCUCUCUGGGACGGUACUGACGCUGAGACGCGAAAGCGUGGGGAGCGAACAGG